rnacentral:misc_RNA from 1 species
UAAGGGUAGUCCAAUAGCACACCCAUCGCAAAAAAGACGAGAAUACAAGCAGAGUUUGAUAUCUAAUGUGCCUACUGAUGGCAACCCGACCUCUACAGUCUUCGCCUCGCCUCAAACUGUUUUCGAUUUGGGAGCCUUCUUCUUUGAUAUCCUCUUUGGAACCGAGUACUUCAUUCCAAGAUAAUAGAGCAAUGCACCAAAGAGGGACAGAUUCUGAGUGAACUUAAUAAAAAGCUCCAUGAAUGCUGGAGUCUCAAAGUCAUAGUUGUAGAAAUCAUGCACAAUCGGAGUGACAAGCGCCAAAUAAAUUAGCAGGAGAUAAGCCCCGAAGGAGCUGCUGAAGAUGAACAGAAGGCCACCAAGCCCUUUGACAGCUAUGGUGGCAGCAAUCACAUGUUUCAUUUCAAUUUCUGGCACUUUAACACCCAGAUGAGAGGACACGAGGUUUGUGAAAAGGUCAUAUUUGGGUCUGAGAGACUUCGCUGCUGGCCCACCAUCCAGUCCAUAUUCGUUAAACUCCUGGUACGCGGAGAGGAUGAAGACAGAGGCGAAGAGCACUCUCCCGGCAAACGUGACGAACCCCAUCGCCGGCGGCGAUCAAUCGGAGCGCGGCGGCAGCGGCGAGGGCGGGGAGAUCUCGCGCUCCG